CCUACGGGAGGCAGCAGUGAGGAAUAUUGGUCAAUGGACGAGAGUCUGAACCAGCCAAGUAGCGUGAAGGAUGACUGCCCUAUGGGUUGUAAACUUCUUUUAUAAAGGAAUAAAACGAGGCACGUGUGCCUUUUUGAAUGUACUUUAUGAAAAAGGAUCGGCUAACUCCGUGCCAGCAGCCGCGGUAAUACGGAGGAUGCGAGCGUUAUCCGGAUUUAUUGGGUUUAAAGGGUGCGCAGGCGGGCCAUUAAGCCGGCGGUGAAAUUGCGGGGCUCAACCCCGCCGCGCCGUUGAAACUGGGUGCCUUGAGUGCGUCAGAGGCAUGCGGAAUGCGCGGUGUAGCGGUGAAAUGCAUAGAUAUCGCGCAGAACCCCGAUUGCGAAGGCAGCGUGCCGUGCCGCCACUGACGCUGAGGCACGAAAGCGCGGGUAUCGAACAGGAUUAGAUACCCGUGUAGUC
rnacentral:rRNA from 1 species